rnacentral:rRNA from 1 species
UUGAACGCUGGCGGCCUGCUUUACCCCUGCCAGUCGAACGGCAGCGCGGGCUUCGGCCUGGCGGCGAGUGGCGAACGGGUGAGUAAUACAUCGGAACGUGCCCAGUAGUGGGGGAUAGCUCGGCGAAAGCCGGAUUAAUACCGCAUACGACCUGAGGGUGAAAGCGGGGGAUCUUCGGACCUCGCGCUAUUGGGGCGGCCGAUGGCAGAUUAGCUAGUUGGUGGGGUAAAGGCCUACCAAGGCGACGAUCUGUAGCUGGUCUGAGAGGACGACCAGCCACACUGGGACUGAGACACGGCCCAGACUCCUACGGGAGGCAGCAGUGGGGAAUUUUGGACAAUGGGCGAAAGCCUGAUCCAGCAAUGCCGCGUGUGUGAUGAAGGCCUUCGGGUUGUAAAGCACUUUUGGCGGGAACGAAAAGGACUGUGCCAAUACCACGGUUCGAUGACGGUACCCGCAGAAUAAGCACCGGCUAACUACGUG